UAGCCUCGGGGCGCAGCAGUGAGGAAUAUUGGUCAAUGGUCGGGAGACUGAACCAGCCAAGCCGCGUGAGGGAUGAAGGUACAGAGUAUCGUAAACCUCUUUUGUCAGGGAACAAAGGCGGGGACGUGUCCCCGGAUGAGUGUAACUGAAGAAAAAGCAUCGGCUAACUCCGUGCCAGCAGGCGCGGGAAUACGGAGGAUGCGAGCGUUAUACGGAUUUAUUGGGUUUAAAGGGUGAGCAGGCGGUCUGUUAAGUCAGCGGUCAAAGCCCGGGGCUCAACCCCGGCCC
rnacentral:rRNA from 1 species